GCACGUCUCUGACAUUUUGCACAGAACACACUUCCUACUUUGGAAACUCUCUUCAAAAACAACUGCGUGAAGGUAAAAGGUCUUGUGGCCUGUGCUCAUAUAGACUUGUUUUGCAGUGAGCUAUACUCUAUCUAUAUCUAUUUGAUGGGGUGUUUUUAGUCUUCAAACUGCAUUUCCAUCCUCUACAUCUAACGGCAGCUUUCUAAUACAUCUGCUAUUAUAAGAUUUAAAAGGUGCAAAUAUGAAAUCUGAAAACUCCCCACUGCACACAGAAGCUCACUGAAAGCCUCUAUAUGAGCACAGAAUUAGACCAUAUUUCCUACUUCCGUAUUAAAUUUGGAGUAACUAAAAACAACUCUGUGAAAGUGAAGUCAUGUGGCCUGUGCUCAUAUAGACUCCAGCUGUCCUGCAGUGAGCAUCUGUAUAUGAUGAAGAGUUUUCAGCUUUCUUAUUUCCAGCUCCUGUGUCUUCUAACAGCAGCGUUAUUAGAAUGUAAAGCUGAAACAGAGAGACCCUGCAAGCAGGUUUAUCAGUUGAACAUAAGCCAUUUACACGGUGACAGGAUGUCUAUUUCUUGCCAAACAACACCCCACCCGCUGGAGUCUCUAACGGUCAAACUACGCAGUAUCAACCCGCUUAAAGACAUCCUGAAUUAUCCAGACACCUCUUCAGCAUCAGAGCACCAGAGAUGGUCUGUGAGGAAUGAUUCUGGAAAUGUUACAUUUGAUCUGAAAGACAUCAGAUCAUCCGAUGGUGGCCUUUAUGACUGUCAGGUCUACAAGGAUCAGGACUGCCUUCAUUCAACUCGAUUUAACCUGAGUAUUAUAAUGUGUAAAACUUUGAACUCUGUCCAUGCAACACUAAACUCGUCAGUGUUGCUGCCGUGCUCUGAACAUCCUCUACACAACAGAACUGAACAAGUCACUUGGAAAGUUGUUAGUGGUCAUCAAUCAACGGAUAUAUUCCAGUAUCGAGGUCCAUACAAGCCCUCCAGCAGCACAGAGAAACCCCUGUAUGAGAGAGUGAGAGAACUAAAUAACGGAUCUUUGCUUAUAAGGAAUGCAGUACACACUGAUGAAUUGUGGUAUCGGUGCAGAGUGAAUGAAAAAACCUGCUAUGAGAUGAGGCUGGUGAUGAAAGCUCAUAAUACAUCUCAUUCCACAACAUUGGUAACCACAGAUGUUGUUUCAGCCUCUGCUGACAGUCUUGCUGGCCUGGCCGAAAGCAACAGUGAUGGGAGUGAAACAGUGACAACUAAUCUGACAGUAGUAGUGAUGACCACAGUAGUGUCUCUGUGUGUCCUCAUAUUACUGACCGUCUGUGCCAUUCUUUAUUUCAAAAAACAAAGACGCAAAACCAACAGCCAAUUACAGUUAAACAGUCAGUUCUCUGUAUAUUACUCCCGUGUUGCAGAAGGGUUUGAUGUCCCGUUGUAUUCUUUAGUUGAACAAAACUCAGGAACAAUGAUCACCUUUGGUGCUGAACAAUCAGAAGCUCCGGCAGAUAAACCAGAUGACAUGUAUGAAAAGUUAACAUUUUGAAAUGAAUAAUGGCGUUUUUAAUGUUUUUUGACAUCAGAGUCUUUGAGUAAUCACUGAUUAUAUGGCAUUUGUCACAAAUUAUAAUAAAGGGUAACAUCUUUUAUCCA
ensembl:lncRNA